rnacentral:rRNA from 1 species
UACGUAGGGAGCAAGCGUUGUCCGGAAUCAUUGGGCGUAAAGCGCGCGUAGGUGGCUUCGUAAGUCCGUUGUGAAAGUCAAAGGCUCAACCUUUGAAAGCCGAUGGAUACUGCGGAGCUAGAGUACGGAAGAGGCGAGUGGAAUUCCUGGUGUAGCGGUGGAAUGCGCAGAUAUCAGGAGGAACACCGGUGGCGAAGGCGGGUCUCUGGGCAUUAACUGACGCUGAGGAGCGAAAGCAUGGGGAGCGAACAGG